rnacentral:rRNA from 1 species
UACGUAGGGGGCAAGCGUUGUCCGGAUUUAUUGGGCGUAAAGAGCGUGUAGGCGGCCAGACAGGUCCGUUGUGAAAACUCGAGGCUCAACCUCGAGACGUCGAUGGAAACCGUCUGGCUAGAGUCCGGAAGAGGAGAGUGGAAUUCCUGGUGUAGCGGUGAAAUGCGCAGAUAUCAGGAAGAACACCCGUGGCGAAGGCGGCCUGCUGGGCAGUGGCUGACGCUGAGGCGCGACAGCGUGGGGAGCAAACAGG